UACGGAGGGUGCGAGCGUUGUCCGGAAUCACUGGGCGUAAAGGGCGCGUAGGUGGCCCGUUAAGUGGCUGGUGAAAUCCCGGGGCUCAACUCCGGGGCUGCCGGUCAGACUGGCGAGCUAGAGCACGGUAGGGGCAGAUGGAAUUCCCGGUGUAGCGGUGAAAUGCGUAGAGAUCGGGAAGAACAUCAGUGGCGAAGGCGGCCUGCUGGGCUGUUGCUGACGCUGAGGCGCGACAGCGUGGGGAGCGGAACAGG
rnacentral:rRNA from 1 species